rnacentral:rRNA from 1 species
UACGUAGGGUCCGAGCGUUGUCCGGAAUUAUUGGGCGUAAAGAGCUCGUAGGCGGUUUGUCGCGUCUGCUGUGAAAUCCCGAGGCUCAACCUCGGGCCUGCAGUGGGUACGGGCAGACUGGAGUGCGGUAGGGGAGAAUGGAAUUCCUGGUGUAGCGGUGGAAUGCGCAGAUAUCAGGAGGAACACCGAUGGCGAAGGCGGGUCUCUGGGCCGUAACUGACGCUGAGGAGCGAAAGCGUGGGGAGCGAACCGG